rnacentral:snRNA from 1 species
GUUUUGGACAUGAUAGCAUUUAAG